AUUGAACGCUGGCGGCAGGCCUAACACAUGCAAGUCGGGCGAGCGGCGGACGGGUGAGUAAUGUAUGGGGCUCUGCCUGAUGGCGGGGGAUAACUACUGGAAACGGUCGCUAAUACCGCAUACCAUCAGAUGACCCCAUAUGGGAUUAGCUAGUUGGUGGGGUAAAGGCUCACCAAGGCAACGAUCCGUAGCGGGUUUGAGAGUACGACCAGCCACACUGGAACUGAGACACGGCCCAGACUCCUACGGGAGGCAGCAGUGGGGAAUUUUGGACAAUGGGGGAAACCCUGAUCCAGCCAUCCCGAGUGUGUGAUGAAGGCCUUCGGGUUGUAAAGUACUUUUGGCAGAGAAGCGGUAUCUGCAGAAUAAGCACCGGCUAACUACGUGCCAGCAGCCGCGGUAAUUC
rnacentral:rRNA from 1 species